AAGCGUGAGGUGCUUUUUAAGAUAUUAUUGAAAUAAUAAUCCUUCUACUCAUAUCUGUCAGAAAAAUAUUUAUAAAACUAAUAAUACCACUACACGUGAAGCGUUUAAGACGAAGGUUCGAGAACUGUUUCUCAGAGAGUUAGCAGAGUCAUCUAAUUGAUUAUUUUUGUUUAUAUACGUUUUACAUGUAUAUAUUUAUGUAUAUGUAUUUAUUUAAGUACUAUGUAUGUACUAUAUAUUAUGUAUGUUAUAUAUACACAUAUGUUUAAGUAGUAUCACCUUCACACUACACCUACCAAGCUUCAUUUCUGCACUCCCCUAAGGUAGACUGUUAGAGAAUGCCUAUGGCAUUAAGGCCGCCUUUAUACUUUCUAGUAUAAGAAGUUAUAAAUAAAAAAAAUAAAAAUAAAAAUACCAUGCACCCCACGUUCUUUUACAAUAUUUUUUUUACACUAAUUUUAAAUUUAAAUGUAUUAAAAUUUAUUUUCUAUUUUUUAGUUGAAUUUCAAUUUUUUAAUUUUUUUUCUUAUUAUUGAAUUGUCAUCGGCCCUCGAUAAAUCUACAAAGUUUGAAUGAAAUCUGGCCGUUUAAAGCGGGUCAAAAUGGCGUCUAAAGGAGUCAGUUACAAACAUACAUACGAGUGAAGCUUAUAUAAAGCAUGUAACAAAAGAACAAAAAUGGAGAACGCGCCGGGCGUCCGAUUAUUCGCCAAAGUGCAGUGGUGGCUUGCAAUGGCGGCGCGGUCGCGGACCAAUCACAGCCGGUUGAGGCGCGUUGCGAGGAAGGCACUGAUGAGAAUAAAGGGCGCGUUCUGAAGAGUCCCGGCGCGUUAUACCAACCUAUUCGCUGGUAGCCUAAGGGCUAUUUCAGCUAUGAACGGACGGGUAGGUGAGCUCACCGGCUCAACCUGAGAGAAUUUGCUAACAUUAGCCCUAGCAAGAGCAGUGCUUCUCAGAAUCUACCACCGGAUCGCGACCCACUGAGAGGAUCCGGCGAGAAACUCAUUGGGCUGUGUCUAUGGGUUGGUUCGAUCGUCGAACUCUUCGUCGUAGUUGACGAGGACGGUGAACGGUGCUUGAGAGACCAGAAUGAAUCCGGGGGAUCCGACAAGACAUGUUUCGGGCGAUGACGGCAUUGGGUUGCCCCGUCGCGAUCGGAUAAGACUCCGGGCUCUGUCAUAUUACCACCAAAGUACAAAUUACUAAUGAAAUAAAAUACGAGAAAGCUGUGGUAGGACCUCUUGUGAGUCCUCACCCCACCUAUAUCUGCCGUGAUGCAGUAAUGCGUUGCGGUUUGAAUGGUGGGGAAGUCGUUGUAACUAUACUGAGACCUUAGAACUUAUAUCUCAAGGUGGGUGGCGCAUUUACGUUGUAGAAUGUCUAUGGGCUCCAGUAUCCACUUAGCACCAGAUGGGCUGUCAGCUCGUCUACCCAUCUAAGCAAUAAAAAAUAAACAUAUUCUCCGACAGGCACAUAUCAUGUCUUCUUCUUUAGAUGCCGACCCUGGGCGAUCCCUUAGCCCUUAGGAGCAGUGUGGUCCAAUCUACUUUUUUUGUUUUGUUUAUCCUACCUAAGCUGAUAGCCCUGAGAGGCUAUAUCAGCGGAACCUUAACUACUUAGUAGGUGAGCUCACGGGGCUCAAACCUGACGACGCCGCGACGUAGCUAUCACGAACCCUAACAAGAGCCGUGCUUCGCAGAAUCUACCACCGGAUCGGAAACGCGACUCACUGAAAAUAUCCGGCGAGAAACUCAGUGGGCUGUGUCUGAGGGUUAAUUUACUCGUCGAGCCCUUCGUCGCAAUCGACGGGUUCGACGAGAACGAUGACCAGUGCUUGAGGUACCAAAUAGCACCGUUAGUGGAUCGGGAGGAUCCGAAAUGACGUGUUUGGGGCGACUGCUUUCCAUUCUGUCCGCAGGAUCGGGAAUGUAGUUACCGGCGGCCACGAUGAGAGGGUUCUCAUGUCGUGCCGCUUUAUCGAAGUGGCGCAUCGACGCCAACUGCAGAUACUUACUGAUGGACUUUAAUUCCAUGUCGUCAUUGAGGUCGACGUUCCUUACGAACCACGAAUCCAAUCUACAUUAACCACUUGACGAAAGAGGCGCUCGAAUAAUAGUAUUUUUCUAUUUUUAUAGUAGGUACAAUUAUUUUCUUGUACUACAAAAAUACUUCUCUAUCAUAUUCCUAAUUGCAUAAAUUUUAGCUUAUCAAAAAACUAAAUUAUAAAUUAAACUGUUUCUCGUUUCUAAUCAUCUUUUGAAUAUGUAUUGUUUGUUUAAAUGCUACAUUUAAUUCUAAAAAUUGAUAACGUUUUAGAAUAAAAGCGCUUUUUGUCAUUCAUUCGAUUAAUAACAGAAUUGUAAGAACCCCUCAACACAUCAUGAAAUUCAUAGUGCUUCUCCUUUGCUUCGUCGCGUACCUAGCUGUGGUUCAGACGGAGCCGCUGCCCAUCGUCAGCAGCAUAGCCACCGCGGGCGGAGCCGGCGAGGAUGUUGCUGCAUCCGCCCUGUCUCAACACCAGGGUGGUAGAACUUACGCAAGCGGCCGCUCGCACGUGUCAAGGGGAGUGGCUUCAGCAUCAGCCGCCAGUGGCUAGAUUAUGAAAAUUUUGAAUGUAGAAGUGAUAAUAAAAUGAAUUGACAUAUACCAAA